ensembl:Mt_tRNA
UAAGUUGAAGCCAAUAUUUGGUGCUUAGUUGUUAACUAAGAGUUAGUGGGAUAAACACCCUCCAAUUUAG